AACAAGACAAGUCAAAAGAGAAGUAUGCAAGUGCGAUUUUUCAGAGAGCUGAUGGUGGUGGGAAUCAGUAAAUCAACCUUUCAGAAAUGGACUUUUGUGUCAAAUGAUUGAAAGAAGUAGGUCAUUUCGGGCAGCGCCCGUUAUAGCGCAAAGUCGUUGUUUGACGAUGAAGAGUAUAAUUUGAGGUGGCACCGUGAGAGAUUCGCCCUCAUG
rnacentral:ncRNA from 1 species